UACGGAGGGUGCAAGCGUUAUCCGGAUUCACUGGGUUUAAAGGGUGCGUAGGCGGUCUAAUAAGUCAGUGCUGAAAUAUCCCGGCUUAACCGGGAGGGUGGCAUUGAUACUGUUGGACUUGAGUAGAGUUGAGGUUGGCGGAAUUGACGGUGUAGCGGUGAAAUGCUUAGAUAUCGUCAAGAACACCGAUAGUGAAGACAGCUAACUAAGCUCAAACUGACGCUGAGGCACGAAAGUGUGGGGAUCGAACAGG
rnacentral:rRNA from 1 species